AGCGAUUUGUAACGGCUCCUUUCCUCAAUUUCGUGACUGCUGUCAUCUCUAACACACGGAAGAACAUCCACAUAAACCCUGAAAUUGUUCAGUAUUCUCUCAACAGCCGUUUGAGUCACCUCAAAUGUAGCAGAGGGCCAGAUUGAAACGGUCCGACGCACUUCACUUGCAAUGCAGA